rnacentral:rRNA from 1 species
UACGGAGGGGGCUAGCGUUGUUCGGAAUUACUGGGCGUAAAGCGCACGUAGGCGGCUUUGUAAGUUAGAGGUGAAAGCCCAGGGCUUAACCCUGGAAUUGCCUUUAAGACUGCAUCGCUAGAAUCGUGGAGAGGUGAGUGGAAUUCCGAGUGUAGAGGUGAAAUUCGUAGAUAUUCGGAAGAACACCAAUGGCGAAGGCAGCCCCCUGGGUCAACACUGACGCUCAUGCACGAAAGGCGUGGGGAGCAAACAGG